rnacentral:rRNA from 1 species
GACGAACGCUGGCGGCGUGCCUAAUACAUGCAAGUCGAACGCAGUGGGGACGGGUGAGUAACACGUGGGUAACCUCCCAUCAGAGGGGAUAACACUUGGAAACAGGUGCUAAACCGAUACUGAUGGAUGGACCCGCGGUGCAUUAGCUAGUUGGUGAGGUAACGGCCUACCAAGGCUAUGAUGCAUAGCCAACCUGAGAGGGUAAGCGGACACAUGGGGACGGAGACACGGCCCAAACUCCUACAGGAGGCAGCAGUAGGGAAUCUUCCGCAAUGGGCGCAAGCCUGACGGAGCAACGCCGCGUGAGUGAAGAAGGUUUUCGGAGCGUAAAGCUCUGUUGUAAGAGAAGCGGUAUCUUACCAGCAAGCCACGGCUAACUACGUGCCUGCAGCCGCGGUAAUAC